rnacentral:rRNA from 1 species
AUUGAACGCUGGCGGCAUGCCUUACACAUGCAAGUCGAACGGCAGCACGGACUUCGGUCUGGUGGCGAGUGGCGAACGGGUGAGUAAUGCAUCGGAACGUGCCAUUGAGUGGGGGAUAACGUAGCGAAAGUUGCGCUAAUACCGCAUAUUCUGUGAGCAGGAAAGCAGGGGACCGCAAGGCCUUGCGCUCUUUGAGCGGCCGAUGUCAGAUUAGCUAGUUGGUGAGGUAAAGGCUUACCAAGGCGACGAUCUGUAGCGGGUCUGAGAGGAUGAUCCGCCACACUGGAACUGAGACACGGUCCAGACUCCUACGGGAGGCAGCAGUGGGGAAUUUUGGACAAUGGGGGCAACCCUGAUCCAGCCAUGCCGCGUGAGUGAAGAAGGCCUCGGUUGUAAGACGUCUUUCGGUCCGGGAACGGAAAUACGCAUGGGCCAAUACCCUCGUGUGGAGUGACGGUACCGGAAGUAAGAA